rnacentral:rRNA from 1 species
GACGAACGCUGGCGGCGUGCUUAACACAUGCAAGUCGAACGGAAAGGCCCUGCUUUUGUGGGGUGCUCGAGUGGCGAACGGGUGAGUAACACGUGAGUAACCUGCCCUUGACUUUGGGAUAACUUCAGGAAACUGGGGCUAAUACCGGAUAGGAGCUCCUGCUGCAUGGUGGGGGUUGGAAAGUUUCGGCGGUUGGGGAUGGACUCGCGGCUUAUCAGCUGGUUGGUGGGGUAGUGGCUUACCAAGGCUUUGACGGGUAGCCGGCAUGAGAGGGUGACCGGCCACAUUGGGCCUGAGAUAGGGACCAGACUCCUACGGGAGGCAGCAGUGGGGAAUAUUGCACAAUGGGCGGAAGCCUGAUGCAGCAACGCCGCGUGCGGGAUGACGGCCUUCGGGUUGUAAACCGCUUUCGCCUGUGACGAAGCGUGAGUGACGGUAAUGGGUAAAGAAGCACCGGCUAACUACGUG